UACGUAGGGGGCUAGCGUUGUCCGGAAUUACUGGGCGUAAAGGGCUCGUAGGUGGCCAACUAAGUCAGACGUGAAAUCCCUCAGCUUAACUGGGGAACUGCGUCUGAUACUGGAUGGCUUGAGUGUGGGAGAGGAAUGCGGAAUUCCAGGUGUAGCGGUGAAAUGCGUAGAGAUGUGGAGGAAUACCGAUGGCGAAGGCAGCCUCCUGGGCCAACACUGACGCCUCAUGACGAAAGCGUGGGGAGCAAACAGG
rnacentral:rRNA from 1 species